GAAUUUGAAUGCUGCGCACGAGGUGGCAACCCGGGCGGACCUCGCUCGCGAAGGAAAACUCCGCAGCGGUGAAAUUCCGGAGAAGCGGAAAUUAAUUACCGGAUGCGGGGAACACACCGCUCAUCGACCGGAAGCGGUGCGGAAGUGAUGUGCAUGUGCAGCCGGAGUCGAAGCGUCAAGAAACUUUUGAGGAGCUCCCGUUAAUAAACGGCUGUUCAGGUCCCUACCGGUCACUGCGAGGAAUGGACCACUAGACAAGUGGUCCAUUCCGCCGGAUUAUGAGAUCAGGAUACCGGAUUUCGAAGGAUUCCGAGACGAAAACUUAUGAUUUUCAAAGGUUUCACGACGAGGCGACCCGGAAAUAUUGAUUGAAAAGUCACUCCGGAUGCUGAAUCACUCGACUUUCCAAGGUGGCUCCUUAUUUUAAACUGGGGGGCAGCGCCCCCUGGCCGCUCCGCAGGAUGCUGGUGGAUAAGGGCAAUUACGCUGCAAUCUUCAUCUAUGUGCAUUUAAAGGUGCCACCCCCCUCCCCAUCUUUCGGUAUUUAAGGCGAUCCGCGACCAUCAUCCUCCGGACGGAGCCGGAAUCGGGUCCUUGAGAUGUCGGCCGAGAGAAGGCGGCGUAAAUCACCUUCAAGUAGGCGGAGGUCCCGGUCUGGAGGCGGCGCGGAGGCGGACGACUCCGGGUUGGACUCUUCACCGUCCUUCGUGGAGGACAGUGGAAGGAAAAUGGUCAAGGAAGAUACGGACGUCAAUGACCUCCAGUCCGUCGACUCAUUCUGCAUCAGACUCCGCCUGGGGGACUCCACGGACAGGUCGGGGUCCGAAUCCCUGUCCCCGCAGAGGGCUGGGAGGUCGGGGUCAUUCACUUCUGGAGACGGGACUUCCAGGUCAGCAUCCAGAUCACCUUCAUCAUCCCCUUCGAUUCGUUUCAAGUCAUCCAAAUGCGUCAUCAAACCGCGACCUCCCCGAAAAUAUUCCCGAUCAACAUCCUCCGAUUCGGACGACACGCCACGACGAUUGUCCUCGACAUCCUGCCAGCGGCUCGGAGAGGGAAUCCGCGAGAAGGGACGCAGUGGCGGCGGCGGGAGCAGGGACAGGGAGAGGUCCCUGGGCGAUCCCUGCAGAAAGAGAUCCCUCACUUGCUGGAGCGAAGAUGACCUCUGCCGUGGAGAGUCACCACCCAGCAAGUUGGAGAAGGUGAAGGAGAGAGAGGUCACACCCGAAUGUGAGCCGAAGGUCACCGAGGAGAAAUGUCAGGAGCCAAGAAGGGUUCGCACGCGCGAGUGCUGUCCAUGUGGCUGUGGGUCCUUUGGAAUGGCAAAGAAAGCAUGUAAACCUGCAUGUCGACCGGAAACUAGAGUGAAAACAAGGAGACCACAGAAAAAAUGCUUAGAAAGACGCUGCUUGUACCAGGAACGCCGAGAUCGGAUGAGGGCGAUCGAAAACUACAAUUUACGGGCGAAGAAGAGCUGCGGUUUCGAAUCGAGGAAAGCGAUUUGCUCUCCGAGACCAACGAAGGUAACACACGAGAACCGGCGUUCCAUGAAGAGGAUCGAAACCCAGAAAUCUUCAGCCCCAGAGCGAUCUGUCUGUACCAGAGGCCGGACACCGGAAUGUUACAGAAGCUUAACAUCGCCACUCUGCGACGACCGCAAGGUGUCAAAGAAAUCGGCUUGCUGCGGGGGCUGGGGAUUUGUUCCCAAAGCCGAAAGGGAAAGAAUGAGAGCGGAAAGGAAAGCAUGUGAGGAAGCGAAGAGGAAAGCAAAAAUCCAGAAACGAUUAUCAUGUACCAGGUGUUUGUGGAGUCCAGACUCCCUGUGUCCGCAACUGGAUAUUAAAUCAAGAACAUUAUCGAAGUUAAAAUGCAAGACGUCGUCGGCCAAGAGAGAAGUGAAACCCGCAGGUGAUUCUUCUGACUCAGAAUGUUACGAUGAAUCAAGGAGGCGUGAACCGGAUGGCUCAAAGAAGCACAAACACAGUGACUCAGAGAGGUUUAAAGAGGGGGAUUCAGGGAGGCGAAAAGAAGGUGGCUCAAGGAAGGACGAAAGACGUGCUUUGAUCAAGAGAGAAGAGGAACCCGCAGGCGACUCUUCUGACUCGGAAUAUUACGAUGAUUCAAGGAGGCGUGAAGCGGAUGGCUUAAAGAAGCACAAACACGGUGACUCAGGGAGGUUUAAAGAGGAGGAUUCAGGGAGGCGAAAAGAAGGUGGCUCAAGGAAUGACGAAAGACGUACUUUGACUAAGAGAGAAGAGGAACCCGCAGGCGACUCUUCUGGCUCAGAAUAUUACGAUGACUCAAGGAGGCGUGAAGCGAAUGGCUCAAAGAAACAAAAACGCGGUGACUCAGAGAGGUAUAAAGAGGAGGAUGCAGGGAGCCGAAAGGAAGGUGGCUCAAGGAAGGACGAAAGACGUGCUUUAAAGAAACGCAAAGAGGGUGAUCCAAAAAGACCCGAAGAGGAGGAUUCAAAAUAUCCCCGAAAGGUAAAAAGAGAGCCAGCGGGUGCUACACGCACCUCGACGCCUGUCGGGAAGCUGUGCAAGAAUUCAGAGUGCGAAUACGUUACGGAGGAGAGUGGGCGUUACGCUGAUGCCAAGAAUAAUGGUGAACGCUCCACCACGGCGCAAAAAUCACGGUCUGGUGCCGACCUACCCUCAAGGGAAUCAGGGUCAGAUUCGUCCUCACUAACCGUCUCUUCAAAUGAUGAGGAUCUCACCCCAGAAACCAACCGCACCGUUUUUAAGGACGACCCUGAUGAUGAGAGCGUGGAAUCGCAGACUACCUCCGAGGACGGGUUUUCUCAAUCCGGUUCCGGGACCGAUACUUCAGAACCAGAGUCCGAAGACGCUUCUGACGGCGACGAUUCUCCAAUACCCGUUGCCAGAGCGCAAGCCAGGCGGUACAUAACCGGUUCAGCGGAGCGUCGCAAGUCUCUCGAUUCCGCCGCCAGAGCUCAGACCAGGCGGCACGCAACCGGUUCGGCGGAGCUUCACAAGUCUCUGGAUUCCGCCGCCGGAGCGCAAGCCAGGCGGUACAGAACCGGUUCGGGGGAGCUUCGCAAGUCGUUGGAUUCCACCACCAGAGUGCAGGCCGAACAACGAGCGCCCAGUUUAGCAGAGGUCAAGAAGUAUACGGAUCCAAAAUUCGUUGCUGAAGUACAGGCUAGACGGCGCACGAUCGGUCUAGCGGAAACUCGCGAGUCUCUGGAGCCCACCAUCGAAGUGCACAAUAGGCUGUUAACGACCCGUCUGCUAAAGCUCCGCGAGUCUCCGAGACUUGCCGCUAGAGCGCAGGCAACGCGGCGGGCAACUAGUCUAUCGUAUCUUGACGAGUCUCCAGAAACCGAUGCUGGAGUGGAGAUCGUGCGACGAACAACCGGUCUGGCAGAGCUCAACGAGUCUCCGAAACUCGCCGCUAGAGCGGGGGCCACGCGGCAGGCAACCCGUAUACCGGAUCUUAGCGUGUCUCCAGAAGUGCAAGACAAGGGGUGGACAGCGGGUGUGCCAGCUCUCGACGAGUCUCCGGGGCCUGCCGAUAGAGUGCAGACCGCGCGGAGAGCAAUCGGUUUCGUGGAACUCAAUGAGUCUCCAAAACCUGUCACUAGAGCGCAGAAUACUCGGCGGGCAACCGGUUUGGCGGAGCUCUGCGAGUUGGAGCGUAACGUAAACGAAAUUGGCGACUUGCUCAAGGCCUGCUGCGAUACGAUUGGCAGGGGGUCUGCGACGGCGUCCACUUCCGAUGUUAAUGUCGAAUGCCUGUUGAGAGAUCCGGUUGCGUUCCGAGAGUACCUGCAAGCCGCCGCCAGUGAGGCCCCGACUGAUGUGAGACGAAGAAUGAAGGCCGCGAUCUGCAGACUGCCGAAUGUGGUCGACCGAGACAGGGUCUGCGGGAUCGAGGACCUCGGCGCUUUCAAGGAACAACGCACGAAAUCCCUUCCUGGGUUCGAAACAUGUGACCCACUCGUUUCCAGUGAUUGUCUGAACCAACAUGCCUUUAAAAGCCUUACAAGCGUUGGGUUGAAAAACUCGAGACCUUACGUCGCGCCAGCAGACGAAGACAAACCCCAAGACAUCAAUCAAACCUCUUUCGCAAAACAACGAUAUAAGAAAACCUCCUCUGCUGAGAAAAUCAUGGAUUUUGGACAAAAAGGAGAACAAUUCACAACGUCCCAAACCACCGUAAAGACUACGAGACGUAGAUCACCUCAAAAAGAAAUGCGACAAACGCCGACCACCGUUGAUCUGAAAAUGAACCGCGGGUCUAGGCCUGUGAAGAAACCCAUACAUUCUAGGGUUGCGCCUGACGACGCCAGCAAUGCGACUACGUUGAGAUUUGGCAGCGUCGCGCGUUCUGAAAAUCUCAGAAUGCGAGCAGACAAGGAUUUCAUUGGUGUAAUUGAAGAAUACGACUCUGAUGACGCGGACAUUUUGACAGAUAUAGACGAUUAUAGAAAAGCCAAGAGAAUCAAAAGUUCUAGAAAUGUCAAGGGACUUGAAGGUUCCAAACGGUUUGUGUCAAAAAAAUCAAAGAAGACUGAGGAUUCUAAGGGUUCUAGGAGUGCCAGGCACAACAGGGCUGUCAAAGGUGAUGACGCUGAUUAUGGUGUAGAUAAUGAGGUAUCUGAUGACGUGGAAGAUGCAGACGACGCCGUGGAGGUUGUAGAUAUGUAGAUGCUGCCGAGGCUGUAGAUGUCGAAGAGGUUGAAGAUACGGAGAAGACAGACACCAUCAGAGGCGGAGGAUGACACGAAGAAAGGUGAAUUUUUGAAGAGAUAACGUUGCAAGAGUUGCUCAAAAUCGAUGCUGGAGAUCAAAAUUCGUAACUCGGAUUACGAUAUAGAAAAUCUUGGUGAAUAUUUUCUUUUUCAAAGGAAACCAAUCGACCUUCUUUCAUGAAAUUUUUGGUGAAUUUUGUUUAUUUUCAAGAACAAUUAGAGAAAAUUUCAAGGAGAUAUCUGCCACGCUAGGGAAGAACGCCAUAUGGGCCUUCAAACGUUGCCAUAUCUCCUCCAGUAAAGAACGAAUUUACUGAUAGACUUGUGAAUGUUGCUCUUCAAACUUUUCAGACCAUUUAGUUCGCAAUUUAAUCUAAAAUAUCUGAAAACUUACAGGAAAAAUAUGCAUAGCUUUCCUCAAAACUAAACAUUUUUUUAGAGGAAAUUUGGCCACGUUCGAAUACUCAUAAGGCGUUUUUUUUUAGAACAGCAGAUUUAUUGAUUAGUUUCAUUCUAAAAAACACAAAAAAUGGGCAACUAAGGCUGGAAACAAACAGAAUGCCUGGGAGAAGGCUCUGAUGGUCUUGAUUUAAUACUUGUAUAUAGUUAUUGUUUUCGUGUCGAGGAGGGGAAGAAAAUACCCCGAAACGUCUCCCGCACUCUGUCUGUUUGUUUUUAGCCUCAGUUGCCUAUUUUCUAGUGUUUUUUAGUUGGAUUAUUCCGGCUAUUUUUGUGUAUUACCCUUAGUUUUCUUCUAAAAAGGAAAUAUAAUAGGCCAUUUUUAAACCCUGCAAUGGAGAGAUAAUUUCCCGACUUUGGUUACUGGUAUAAAGAGUAUUUUGAUGUUGUACGAAGAAAGAAAAUCUUAAUUUUUAAGACGAAAUUAAAUAUAUUUGCCAAACUCCUAUAAAUCCUAGAUUAUUCAAUCUAAUAAUCCUGUUCACCACUCAUAUAUAAAUCUUAUAGUAAGUGCUAGUAUUCAUAGACAAAUUACUAUGAAUUAUUAGUUCGAUAUAUUUAUAAUAUUAAACAGCUUUAAACAAAACAUGAAUGGAAGGAUAUGUAUUAGGUCCUUGUAAAAAAUCAGAAAAACGGUUGAAAUAAAAUAAAAAUGCGGGGAAAAUGGAAGUCGCAAUGAUGUUAUCAAAUCCAUCCCACAUUCAAAGGUUGAACAUUUUUCAGGAUUAAAUGUAACAAUACGUAUCUCAAUGUUGCACAUAGGUAUAAGGCGAUCAUUCUUUCAAAAAUAUGCUGAUUUAGUGUCGAAAACUGGAGCAUAUGAUACCUCUACUCGAACACCAUGUUCGGAUUUUUUCAAACUUUUUCGAAAAUUUCUGCCGAUUUUGACUGUUUCCGGAUUGCAUUUAACAAACACACAAAACAUAAAUCUACGUGGUAGUCAAAGCAGGGAGCUUAAAAUAAAUAAUUUCAUGGAAUUUUAAGACUUUAACAAAUUUUACAGAGUAAACCCGGACGUUGCUACCACAGAAGGUGGUUGAGCGACGACAAUGUGGGACAACAUUGUCUCUGAAUCCCUCCUACCAAAUGACGAGGGGAACGUGACUGCAAUAUCGG
rnacentral:lncRNA from 1 species